rnacentral:rRNA from 1 species
UACGUAGGUGGCAAGCGUUGUCCGGAUUUACUGGGCGUAAAGGGCGUGCAGGCGGUUCGUUAAGUUCAGGGUGAAAGCUCCCGGCUCAACUGGGAGAGGUCUCUGGAUACUGGCGGACUUGAGGGAGGUAGAGGAGAGUGGAAUUCCCGGUGUAGUGGUGAUAUGCGUAGAUAUCGGGAGGAACACCAGUGGCGAAGGCGGCUCUCUGGGCCUUUCCUGACGCUGAGGAGCGAAAGCGUGGGGAGCGAACAGG